CAUGAGCUCCGGUGAAAAAUGGAGACGUAAGCAGGAGCCUCUCGUCUCUGCAAUCUGAGACCUCGAAAGACCUAAAAUCCUUCAACAGGUUUUGAGAAAAGAAAAGAAAAAGAGGCACGCGAGGCGUUUUUUGAGAGGCGCGAGUGUCUUUCAAAAUAGGCUAUUUGGUGGGUUAGAACCCACAGAAAUUGGAUACACGCGCUAAACGCAAGAUGGGUGAGAGUGGGUAUGAAACCGCAAGAUCGGUGAGAAUGGGUAUGACAUGGAGCGCUCUGAUUGGCUAAAAAACUCAAAAUAGUAGACAUGUAGCUCCUCCCUUCCUCCUCUCAUAAUAGUAGUUAUUAUUACUUCGUCUAGGCGAGAAUGAAAUUAAGAUUUUUUUCAAUCUGAAAGUUGGUGUUUUUAGAGAUAUACUUCUUGGGAAAUCUUACAGAAACAGGUAACAUCUAGCGGUAUACAUAAGCACUUAGAAGGUGUUAAAGUGAUCCACAGGAUUGCACACAAGUGGUCGAGCCAUCUCAGCAGAAAAACCAGAACCUUGGCUCAGAUCGACCUUCUGUCCAUCAACACUCUUCCAGUCGAAGCGCUGCACCAAUGAACCCACACCUAUAUGCAUCACAUUCAUGGCAAGGGAUGCUCCUGGACAUCCUCUCCUUCCACUCCCAAAUGGAAGGUAACGGAAAUUCUGCCCCUUGAACUGCAUCUGGUGUUCACCUAUCUUCUCUUCAGAGCUCUCUAGAAAUCUCUCGGGGAUGAAUCUGUCUGCAUCUGCCCAUAGUUCUGAAUCUCGCAUGAUUGCAUAAACAUUUACGAGUACACGGGUUUUUGACUUGACAAGGCACCCGUUCACCUGGCAGUCUUCUGCGCAUUCUCUUAUGAUCAGAGGAGCUGAAGGGUGGAGCCUCAGAGUUUCCCUUAGGACAGCUCGGAGGUAAGGAAGGUUAGGAACAUCUGAUUCUUUCACCAGUCUUUUACUUCCAACAACGUUAUUGAUCUCUUCUCGUAACUUGUUGAACGCUUGUGGAUGGUUUAUUAGUUGCCCCAUUGCCCACUGCAUUGCUGCUGCUGAUGUAUCUGUUCCCGCCAUGAAAACAUCCUAGAGAAGUUUCACGCAACACACAGUUUUAUCACAUCAAAAUAAUCAAAUUGAAAAUUGGAUUCUGAUUGCAGGUGGGAGGAAACAUACCAGCAGGAAAGAUUUCAUGUCAUUCCUCGUUAUCUUCAUUUCAGCAGUGGGAUCUCUGUCAUAUUUCUCCAUUACAGCCACUAACUUCUUCCCGUUCCCAGAAAAGUCCAUUACUUUCAAUGGCCCCAACACAUCUCCUACACUGAUCUUCCCCGCAAGCUCCAAACUUUUCUUCACCAGCUCCCUUAUCUCUUCUGCUUCAUUAUCAGUACCUGAACACCUGGUGCUCAUCGCCAUCCUGCAGAUUACAUUGUUGGUGUAUUUUAUGAACUGGCUACUCAAGUCACAAGGCAACCCUUCUCUGCAACACUUAGCCACAGAAUCGACCAGCUUCAGUUUCUCCUCCUCACGGAUGUCAGCGAAUUUCUCCAGCUGUGGAACAGCAAGAAGCUUAGUCAUGCACAGCUUCUUCAUGAACCUCCAGUAAUCUCCAUACUGCGCAAGGACAAACCUGGACCCUCUAUACUUGAAAUACUCUGCAGAACCAAACUCAGGUCUCGAGGAGAAAUUAAGCUCUUGCUCCUUGAAAAUCUCUCUCGCCACCGAAGAGCUUGAGACCACAACGCACUUAGAAGCACCGAGACGUAUCUCCAUGAGUGGGCCAUACUUGUGAGCUAAACUUUGGAAUGAGACAGGCAAUACUUUGCCUAUCAAAUGAAGGUGGCCAAUGAAUGGUAAAGCUGGAGGGCUCUGUGGCAGCUUCGUAGCAGCCAAUGAACCUUGCUCUUUCAAGAACCAUUUGAAGAGAGCAUAAAGCAUGAAAGGAAAAGCUAAGGAUGUGAUGAGAAUAAUUAGUUUAGUGUUUAGUUUUAAAUCCAUUGCAGGCAGGUAUUGAUACAAUUUUUGAAGUAUGCUUGUAUUUAUAUCCAGACACAGACGAAUCUUGUUUAUUAGAUGCUCAUUGUAAAGAAAACAAAACAACAGAUGUGACCUUUUACCAAAUAUAAAAUGUGUGACGUAA
rnacentral:lncRNA from 1 species